UCCAGACUUCUACGGGAGGCAGCAGUGAGGAAUAUUGGUCAAUGGCCGAGAGGCUGAACCAGCCAAGUCGCGUGAGGGAAGAAUGUCCUAUGGAUUGUAAACCUCUUUUGUCAGGGAGCAAAGUCACCCACGUGUGACUCAUUGAGAGUACCCGAAGAAAAAGCAUCGGCUAACUCCGUGCCAGCAGCCGCGGUAAUACGGAGGAUGCGAGCGUUAUCCGGAUUUAUUGGGUUUAAAGGGUGCGUAGGCGGAAUGCCAAGUCAGCGGUAAAAUCGCGGGGCUCAACCUCGCUCCGCCGUUGAAACUGGCGUUCUUGAGUGGGCGAGAAGUAUGCGGAAUGCGUGGUGUAGCGGUGAAAUGCAUAGAUAUCACGCAGAACUCCGAUUGCGAAGGCAGCAUGCCGGCUCCACACUGACGCUGAGGCACGAAAGCGUGGGUAUCGAACAGGAUUAGAUACCCUCGUAA
rnacentral:rRNA from 1 species